rnacentral:rRNA from 1 species
AUUGAACGCUGGCGGCAGGCCUAACACAUGCAAGUCGAACGGUAACAGGAAGAAGCUUGCUUCUUUGCUGACGAGUGGCGGACGGGUGAGUAAUGUCUGGGAAACUGCCUGAUGGAGGGGGAUAACUACUGGAAACGGUAGCUAAUACCGCAUAACGUCGCAAGACCAAAGAGGGGGACCUUCGGGCCUCUUGCCAUCGGAUGUGCCCAGUUGGGAUUAGCUAGUAGGUGGGGUAACGGCUCACCUAGGCGACGAUCCCUAGCUGGUCUGAGAGGAUGACCAGACACACUGGAACUGGGACACGGUCCAGACUCCUACGGGAGGCAGCAGUGGGGAAUAUUGCACAAUGGGCGCAAGCCUGAUGCAGCCAUGCCGCGUGUAUGAAGAAGGCCUUCGGGUUGUAAAGUACUUUCAGCGGGGAGGAAGGGAGUAAAGUUAAUACCUUUGCUCAUUGACGUUACCCGCAGAAGAAGCACCGGCUAACUCCGUG